rnacentral:lncRNA from 1 species
UCCACCCACUCAAGGUACGUAAAUGAUGUUUUUGUGUAAUUUUACGGUUCCCUUAUUUGGGAGAUAAUAUCAAUGUACUUUGUGUGGUUUGCUGAAACUCUAUUGCGGGAUAUGUACCUUGACAUGGAUGUUUAGUUCUUUUAGAUUGGCUUUUGCUUAUUGCAAAGAAACAAUAAUAAUUAUUUGUUAGAUAUGAAACAUUUGUCUCAUACACUCUCUCUGAUCUCCUGAAAGGUGGAGCGGAUAAGUCAGUAAGUUCCUUGAAUAAAAGGAAUCGUCUGUGUUUGAGGUUGAUGCAUGGUGAUAUGAGUCAAUUGUGGUUGGGUUGAUUGGGAUUUCACUUGUUUCCAUUCACUUAUGUUUGAU